rnacentral:sRNA from 22 species
GCUGCCGCAAAAUCGGCAGCCGGGCGUGAGAACCCGAGUAUGUUAUCGGCGACAUAUGACGCGCCAUGCGUCUUUUUU